rnacentral:rRNA from 1 species
UCCACGCCCUAAACGAUGUCAACUAAGUGUGUGGGAGUUUAACUCCUGCGUAUUGAAGCUAACGCGAUAAGUUGACCGCCUGGGGAGUACGGUCGCAAGACUAAAACUCAAAUGAAUUGACGGGGGCCCGCACAAGCGGUGGAGCAUGUGGUUUAAUUCGAUGCAACGCGAAGAACCUUACCAGGUCUUGACAUGUACGGAAUUUUCCAGAGACGGAAAAGUGCCUUCGGGAA